UAAGAAGACUUAGUGGUUUAAUUAUACAUUAAGGAAUUGGCUAAGUGGUAAUUAGAAUGCAUAUAGACUCAUUCUAUAUUGAUCUAAGAGGGACUAUUAAGAAGUAAGUGGAUUAGUGAGAAUCCAACUAAAUGGCAAACUAGUAAUUUUGGCAUAGUUAGAGGGCAUUUUGGACAAUAGACAUCUUGCAUGAGUCAUAAGGAGUUGUUUGGAUGGAGGGAUGUAUAUCUUGGUUAGAGAAUCAUUUCUUUUGGAGAAUAAAGAGAUUAGAACCAAGAAGAACUCAUAACUCAUUUUCCAUUUUCGUAUUCCAUGGCAGCCUCCACUAAAACAGCUUAUGUUUUGAAGGAGAAAAGUGAGCUUGAAGUUGGGACAUGCAUGCUGAUUGUGUGUUAAGGUGUGGCUGCGGAUUUGAUGAUGAAGAAUAUGAAUUUUGGGCAAGAAGAGAUUACCAUAGCAGCAAGAACAUGAUCUUAACCUCCAUUAAAUCCAAGGUGAGUCCUUAGUUAGAGACUUGGGGGAAUUUGCAUGCUAGUAUUAGAAUUGGGGUUUGAGUGAUAAUCCAUAAUUGCAUGUGAUCAACUUGUUAAUUGAUAAUGUUAUGGUAUGUUGUAUUGCUUUAACCCUUUGCAUGCUGAUGAUUCUGUAUAUAUGCAUGUUAUAAAUUCGUUGGGGAUCAAUUAUGAUACUUGGAAUCACUUAAAAGCCAUUAGGACUGGUUUAGAACCCUUAGAAAUGCAGAAAAUUGAUUCUGCUUCAGGGUAAUCGGUUACUGGCAUUUGGGUAACCGAUUACUCUGUGUAAAUUUGCGUUUCUGGGCAUUUUUCAUGCCAGUAAUCGGUUACUGGCAUCUGGGUAAUCGGAUACCCUGGGCAAAAGUGCAAAAAUCAGCAAACUUUAGAAAGUCGUAACUUUCGGCUCGGGUAUCGGAAUUGCGCAAACUUUAUAUCGUCGGAAAGCUAGCGACGUGUACUUUCUAAUUAAAUAGGUCCCCAAACCAGAAUUAUUGAUUUAAUAAUAGUGGAGCCCUACUUAAUGAAUCAAUGAAUUAGCAUGGGAACUUAUGUCUUUACCAAUUGAUUAAUAAUUUUUAUGUUAAGCAUGACAUAGUUUGUUUAUUGCUUAUUAUGAUUGUGAUACCCAUAUUUGAAAACGUUAUGCCAUUAUGUUUUAUACAUGAUAAUCUAUGGACUCCAUCGUUUUGGUUAAACGAUUGGAUUGAUUGCAUUGUUUGUGACCUUGACUUUAUGUCAUAUUUUUGUAUGCUUGAAUCGAAGUGGCCGGCAGGCUAGAUUGGGACGCGCUCUGACCGUGUAGUCUAUGAGCCCUCCCGGACCGUGUAGUCCAAUGGAAUAACCCGUUCAUGUGUAUUGUUCGAUAUGGUGUGCAUCUGAGCUACCGUUGCAGUGUGCUCGUGAGUUUCCGUACGGGGUUUUACUCACUUGGCGUUAACACACUUGCGUGCUCGGUAUGGUGGGGUUAUGCGGCUAUGUAGGCUAAUGCAUAAUGUGGUAACUCACCUCUAGUAAAGUCACGUAGACUAAUACUAGGCUUUCGCCCGAUGGGCUCAGGCGUCAAGGUGGCGGUUUGUACUCGGCGUAACUCACUAGCGUGAAGGAGGUUAACGGGAUAAUGACGCCAAUUAGGCCAGGUCAUGGUACGGCCAUUUAGGCUUGUGGACUCGUUUAACCGUCCUGCAGUGUGCUUGUACAAGUCCCUUGACAAAUAGGCAGGAGGUUACUCAUCGAGGAUGCAUUUAUUCCAUAAUCCUAGCCGGGGUUGUUUACACUUCUGGAUUCCCCAUACAUGGGUAUGGGUUUGCAUACUUGUUUGCUAUACUACGUGUAUUUGUGUGAGACAAGUCCAAUGGUGGACGAGUCACCUGUUUUCUCCGUACUUGUACCGGAUGUGAGGUUGAACCCCGGAUCAAUGGUGGAUUCGGUUUUGUUGAUGCAUGUACCCUGUAGAACUGAGUGGACCCAUAGGAUAGGAGGACUCACUGAGAUUUAGUAAUCUCACCCCAAUCAACUUAUAUUUUUUUUUCAGGUACAGUUUAGUAGCGUUUAGUCAGUAGCAGGUUUGGACUGAAGACUUGGAAGUGGUGAUGGCUCGGAGACCUCGUCAGAUCUCAUUUUCCGCUGUGCAGAUCCAUUGAAGAUACAUGUGUUGUAAUUCUUAUUAGGAUAUCAUGUUGUAUUUUAUAUGGAUCUCUCUAUAUCUAUAGCUUUUGUAUGUACUCAAUAUCAAUUUUAACGUUUCAUGCAUAAUAUACUAGUCAGUUAUGUAUGGGGUGUUACAGUUGGUAUCAGAGCAGGUCGAUUCUCGGCCGAGCCAUGAGACAUCACUAGCAAUUCCUUUUCCUCCUCUCAAGUGUGCGUUGCUAGCCUGAUUUUACUGAUAUCUCAUUCAGUUGUUGAACUUGAUCAACUCAUCGACUGAGUGUGAGACAGUAGGAUUACGGCAGAGCCGCCACGAGGACUCGUAAACCUGUAAGUGUUGUGAACCUAAGUUGUUGGAGUAAGAUGAGUAAUGAAUUGUUGGACGUUUUAAGCGGAUAAUAUUGGAGUUGUCAGACUUAAGAGGAAAGCGUUUGACGCGGAGUAGUGAUACCCGAACUGUCAAGAUGUGGAUGGAGACAACUAGAACCCCCAGGAUUUUGACUGAACAAAGUGAAACCUUCUCUAAGUCUUGGUAGUAGCAAGGGAAAUCCAAAUAGGAUUGAGUAGGAGCCUUGUAAGGGAGAUUCUCCGAAGGUGUUGAGCUGUGAAUUAGUAGGAUUCAGUACUGAUGAUGUUGCCGGUGUUAAAGUGUGACAGGUGAGCUGAUAGGACAAAAUGGCCUCUGGAAAUGCGGACAGAAGAGUUAGACCUUUCUGAUUACGCUGGUACGGACAUUAAUUGGAUGGGUGAAGUAUUAGAUCUUGAUUUAACUUGAAGUACCCUAAGCGAGAGUAGUUACCUAGUAAAUGUUGGUGGAAGGUACGAAUGUGGUAACUUACGAUUGGACGAGGUUUGAAUACCUGAUCGAUAGAAGAGGAUAUGUAUUUCUGUUCUUAUCAUUUUAUAUUUAAGUCCUAGAACUACGCUAGAUGGAAUAUGAAAUGAUGUAGAAGCGUGAAAUGCAGUGACCUAAGUUCUUGUUAGUUGUUGUUCGUUUGACCCCGAGUGAAGCCAUAGAACUACGCUUGGCGUUGGGCGUUCAGGCGAGUAGUAACUAAGAACUAUCUGGAACGUCAGCAGGAUGAUCGCAGUUGCGUCGGAUGUUAGGAACUAUAGUAUUCCUAUCUGAACUGAAUUAUCCUUGGAAUCUCAUGCAUGCGUGGGACGAGUGGGUACGCGCACUGCAUGAUGAUCCGAAGUUGAACUUCAAAUCUUCGUGCUUAGCGUUUUGGAUUUCCGAGUAAGUAAACCUUGGUGUGUAGCACUCUCAGGUUUUAGCAUCCUGAGGAGUGUGAUUCGAAGGACUUGAGGAACGAUGAGCCUAUUGGAAGCCUGUUCAGACACUUGUCGGUUGUGAUAAUAGGAUACUUGUGUGGGUCAUUAUACGCCACUGAGGUAGUUUACCUGGAUACAUGGCCUCGGAGUUAGACCACCAUGUUGGUACUACCAGACGGGUAUGAUGCCACAAUAUCGCUAUCGUGCACAAAUGCGUGAGUCAUCCUUAUUCCGACAUGUGUGGGACAAAGGUGAUCUGAAGCUCAAGGUGGAAUUCUGAUUUGGCACUCGUGAGACACAGAUCCAGACUCUCAUAAGGUAUGUGGGAUAAGGAUCCAUACAUCGCACUCGAUAGUAGAGGAAUAACUAGACAGGCGAUGAUGUGAUGGAUCAAGACCCAAUAUUAUACUUAUGGAGACUCUGAGUGAUCGUGAUCGCGUGAGUUAGUAUCCGAUUGUACCUUGGGGAUGUCCUCGUUUUGUGAAGUGUUAAGUUGGAAAUCUUGCAUGAGUGUCUAGAGUGAGACUCAUGCGCGGUCAUGAUAUCCUGGUCAGCAUAGUGAGUGGAUAUCAUGUACCAUUGGCGACCAGUGAUGGAAUAUGCAAGUUAUAUCUUGGAUCGGCUCGAUGUGUGAUGUGUCUGGUAAGGUAUUGCUAGAUACCCUGAGUGGAGAAGUGUUAAUCUUGGUAAAGCAUGGACAUUUUGGUUUGAGAACUGCUAAGGAGUUUAUAAGAGAGAUGUUCGAAGUGCAAAGUGCAAAGUGCAAUUUCUUGCAUUGUGGCUACACUCAGACCGUUGGAAGCACUGCAAUGAAGGAUGCAGCCGCUGAGGAAGUCAGUUCAGUGUCUGAUUCAGAGGUGGAACAUACGUUAGAUGAUUGUGUGAAUGGAGUGUGGCUAUGGGAGGAUCGUUAUAUCAGUAGGUCACACGAGUUAUCAGAGGUGAUACUACACUAAGAGAAUGAAGGUGUAUGGCUGGGGUAGAAGUUGUGUAAAACUGUUAGAGUUAUCAUGAACUGCAGUAUGUCGUGAAGGAUUCGAUAUACCGGUUGAACAACAAAGAUUUGUUGGAAUGAAAAACAUAGCAGAUGUACACUGUGGAAAUCAGUGACAAGGACGAACCUCUAAGUCAGUGAGUGUUUGGGUUUCAAUGUCCUGAGGAUGAAACGUGUACCUAAGUUGUGGUAGAUGAACUAUAUGGAAUGGCAGAGUAAGUAGAAGCUUGAUUUAGAAGAGUACGCAACUUCAAAGAGUAGUAGUCGAUGAUGGAUGUAUAUAGAGUUCUGACACAUGUUGUAAUUGGACGACUAUAGAUAAGGAAAUUAUUGUGUAUUAAUGGAAACCAAGUGAAUUAUGGAUAUAACGUGACUCAGAGGAUUUCAAGGUGUGUGUGGCUUGUUGGAAUCAGAGUAGCGCAACGGAUCAAGGGAGAAUCAGAUAAGUCUGAGGUAGGAACGAACGGACUAUUUGUAGGAUUCUAUGUUGGGAUGAAAGUAUGUUCCUAAGGGAAAUUGUUGAAGCAGCGUUUCGUUCAUUCCGGUCACUUGAGGAUUCACCAUAAACUCGAGAGGUGUUAUCUAUGGACCAGCUUAGGAAUACUUUUGUGGAUGGCAUGCAGUACGACGUUCGUAGGUCAUCAGUUUAGCUUGCGAGUCACAAGGGUUGGACUGAGUAUCAGACUGUCGAAAUGCUGAAGGCUAGAGAGGACAUUCAGUUGGCGCAAGUUCUUUGUAGUUAUGCCUUGUGUACUAUGAUUGUACGUGAAGACGGGUACAAUGGUUACAGGUCAGUUGUUGAAUUUCGCGUCUUAUCAGUAGAAUCUUGUUCGAAGUUGUCGAAUGUCAAGGCGAUAGUUGCAAGACGAUUACACCUUCGCGGUUUACGGUGACAGUUGUAUAAGUAAAGAUAAAUUUGGAACAAUCAUCCUAAGACUUUAGGAACCAGAGGUUAAGACCGAGGAAUUUGGAGAUCACCUAAUGGCAUUGUAUGGACUCGAAUGGAGAAUAAUUUGAAGUGCUAUCGUAGAAGUGACGUGGUGGCAAUAAUUCUCAAACAAGAAGUAAUUCAAGGAGCUGAGUGGAUCAGUAAUGUUUGUUGAACGAGGGUGAACACACCAGAGAAUGAAAUGAAGGACAUCCGACAUGGGUGGAUUAUUAGAGUUUUUGAAGUUCUGGAAAUCUAGUGCCGAGCAGUGAAGGUCAAGGACUCUGGAAGGAUCUUUCCCUAGGUAUGUCAAGACGAAGUACCUGAACAGACGUGUUGCUUGACAGUUAAGGUUCUGAUCAUGAAUAAUGGGAAUACCAGUUUGGCAGAUUGUGUUUCUUCGUAACGAAUGACCAUCAGACAGAGUGGUGAGAUUAUCUUAAGAGGAAUGUGAGUAACAUUCUUCCCCUUGGUUGGAUAGAUGUGAAGAGUUAGUUUUUCGCGAUGAUUGAAAGGAAUUCGAGGACGAAUUCAAUUUAAGGGGGGGAGAAUGUAAUAUCCCACAUUAAUCUAAGCACGAUUAUGGAAUAAUAAGAAGACUUAGUGGUUUAAUUAUACAUUAAGGAAUUGGCUAAGUGGUAAUUAGAAUGCAUAUAGACUCAUUCUAUAUUGAUCUAAGAGGGACUAUUAAGAAGUAAGUGGAUUAGUGAGAAUCCAACUAAAUGGCAAACUAGUAAUUUUGGCAUAGUUAGAGGGCAUUUUGGACAAUAGACAUCUUGCAUGAGUCAUAAGGAGUUGUUUGGAUGGAGGGAUGUAUAUCUUGGUUAGAGAAUCAUUUCUUUUGGAGAAUAAAGAGAUUAGAACCAAGAAGAACUCAUAACUCAUUUUCCAUUUUCGUAUUCCAUGGCAGCCUCCACUAAAACAGGUAUAUCUCUCAACUCGUAACUCCGAUUGAGCUGAUUCCGGUCCCAUUGGAAAGCUAACGAAUUUCUCUUCGAUUUGCACCUAUGGUUCGCGUUCAUAGCUUAUGUUUUGAAGGAGAAAAGUGAGCUUGAAGUUGGGACAUGCAUGCUGAUUGUGUGUUAAGGUGUGGCUGCGGAUUUGAUGAUGAAGAAUAUGAAUUUUGGGCAAGAAGAGAUUACCAUAGCAGCAAGAACAUGAUCUUAACCUCCAUUAAAUCCAAGGUGAGUCCUUAGUUAGAGACUUGGGGGAAUUUGCAUGCUAGUAUUAGAAUUGGGGUUUGAGUGAUAAUCCAUAAUUGCAUGUGAUCAACUUGUUAAUUGAUAAUGUUAUGGUAUGUUGUAUUGCUUUAACCCUUUGCAUGCUGAUGAUUCUGUAUAUAUGCAUGUUAUAAAUUCGUUGGGGAUCAAUUAUGAUACUUGGAAUCACUUAAAAGCCAUUAGGACUGGUUUAGAACCCUUAGAAAUGCAGAAAAUUGAUUCUGCUUCAGGGUAAUCGGUUACUGGCAUUUGGGUAACCGAUUACUCUGUGUAAAUUUGCGUUUCUGGGCAUUUUUCAUGCCAGUAAUCGGUUACUGGCAUCUGGGUAAUCGGAUACCCUGGGCAAAAGUGCAAAAAUCAGCAAACUUUAGAAAGUCGUAACUUUCGGCUCGGGUAUCGGAAUUGCGCAAACUUUAUAUCGUCGGAAAGCUAGCGACGUGUACUUUCUAAUUAAAUAGGUCCCCAAACCAGAAUUAUUGAUUUAAUAAUAGUGGAGCCCUACUUAAUGAAUCAAUGAAUUAGCAUGGGAACUUAUGUCUUUACCAAUUGAUUAAUAAUUUUUAUGUUAAGCAUGACAUAGUUUGUUUAUUGCUUAUUAUGAUUGUGAUACCCAUAUUUGAAAACGUUAUGCCAUUAUGUUUUAUACAUGAUAAUCUAUGGACUCCAUCGUUUUGGUUAAACGAUUGGAUUGAUUGCAUUGUUUGUGACCUUGACUUUAUGUCAUAUUUUUGUAUGCUUGAAUCGAAGUGGCCGGCAGGCUAGAUUGGGACGCGCUCUGACCGUGUAGUCUAUGAGCCCUCCCGGACCGUGUAGUCCAAUGGAAUAACCCGUUCAUGUGUAUUGUUCGAUAUGGUGUGCAUCUGAGCUACCGUUGCAGUGUGCUCGUGAGUUUCCGUACGGGGUUUUACUCACUUGGCGUUAACACACUUGCGUGCUCGGUAUGGUGGGGUUAUGCGGCUAUGUAGGCUAAUGCAUAAUGUGGUAACUCACCUCUAGUAAAGUCACGUAGACUAAUACUAGGCUUUCGCCCGAUGGGCUCAGGCGUCAAGGUGGCGGUUUGUACUCGGCGUAACUCACUAGCGUGAAGGAGGUUAACGGGAUAAUGACGCCAAUUAGGCCAGGUCAUGGUACGGCCAUUUAGGCUUGUGGACUCGUUUAACCGUCCUGCAGUGUGCUUGUACAAGUCCCUUGACAAAUAGGCAGGAGGUUACUCAUCGAGGAUGCAUUUAUUCCAUAAUCCUAGCCGGGGUUGUUUACACUUCUGGAUUCCCCAUACAUGGGUAUGGGUUUGCAUACUUGUUUGCUAUACUACGUGUAUUUGUGUGAGACAAGUCCAAUGGUGGACGAGUCACCUGUUUUCUCCGUACUUGUACCGGAUGUGAGGUUGAACCCCGGAUCAAUGGUGGAUUCGGUUUUGUUGAUGCAUGUACCCUGUAGAACUGAGUGGACCCAUAGGAUAGGAGGACUCACUGAGAUUUAGUAAUCUCACCCCAAUCAACUUAUAUUUUUUUUUCAGGUACAGUUUAGUAGCGUUUAGUCAGUAGCAGGUUUGGACUGAAGACUUGGAAGUGGUGAUGGCUCGGAGACCUCGUCAGAUCUCAUUUUCCGCUGUGCAGAUCCAUUGAAGAUACAUGUGUUGUAAUUCUUAUUAGGAUAUCAUGUUGUAUUUUAUAUGGAUCUCUCUAUAUCUAUAGCUUUUGUAUGUACUCAAUAUCAAUUUUAACGUUUCAUGCAUAAUAUACUAGUCAGUUAUGUA